rnacentral:rRNA from 3 species
GUUGACCUCGGAUCAGGUAGGAAUACCCGCUGAACUUAAGCAUAUCAUAA